GGGCCCGCACAAGCGGAGGAACAUGUGGUUUAAUUCGAUGGUACGCGAGGAACCUUACCUGGGCUUAAAUGUAGAGUGCAUUUCACCGAAAGGUGGAUUUUCUUCGGAACUCUUUACAAGGUGCUGCAUGGUUGUCGUCAGCUCGUGCCGUGAGGUGUCGGGUUAAGUCCCAUAACGAGCGCAACCCUUAUCGUUAGUUGCCAGCGGGUAAUGCCGGGAACUCUAACGAAACUGCCGGUGUAAACCGAGAGGAAGGUGGGGAUGACGUCAAAUCAGCACGGCCCUUAUGUCCAGGGCUACACACGUGUUACAAUGGUCGGUACAGAGGGCAGCUACCUGGAGACAGGAUGCGAAUCUCCAAAACCGGUCUUAGUUCGGAUCGGAGUCUGCAACUCGACUCCGUGAAGCUGGAUUCGCUAGUAAUCGCGCAUCAGCCAUGGCGCGGUGAAUACGUUCCCGGGCCUU
rnacentral:rRNA from 1 species